GUGGGGAAUAUUGGACAAUGGGCGCAAGCCUGAUCCAGCCAUGCCGCGUGGAGGAAGACUGCCCUCUGGGUUGUAAACUCCUUUUAUAUGGGAAGAACCGUCCUCAUUAAUGAGUGACCUGACGGUACCAUAGGAAUAAGCACCGGCUAACUCCGUGCCAGCAGCCGCGGUAAUACGGAGGGUGCAAGCGUUAUCCGGAUUCACUGGGUUUAAAGGGUGCGUAGGCGGAUAAAUAAGUCAGUGGUGAAAUCAACGGGCUCAACCUGUUAACUGCCAUUGAUACUGUGUAUCUUGAAUAUGAGAGAGGUAGGCGGAAUGUUGCAUGUAGCGGUGAAAUGCUUAGAUAUGCUACGGAACACCGAUUGCGAAGGCAGCUUACUAUUUCGUAAUUGACGCUGAGGCACGAAAGCGUGGGUAGCGAACAGGAUUAGAAACCCUGGUAGUCC
rnacentral:rRNA from 1 species